rnacentral:lncRNA from 1 species
GGAGGCUGAAGCACGAGAACCGCUUGGACCCAGGAGGCACAGGUUACACUGAGCCGAGAUCAUGCCACUGCACUCCAGACACACUAAGACUCCAUCUCAAAAAAAACACAAAAAACAAAAGAUACAGAGUUACAGUAAAUAUGUUAAUAUCAAACCCAGGAGGCCUGGUAUGUAACAUAUUUCUUUUUUUUUUUAUAUUUUUGAGAUGGGGUCUCACUCUGU